GAUGAACGCUGGCGGCGUGCCUAAUACAUGCAAGUCGAGCGAACAGAUGAGGAGCUUGCUCCUCUGACGUUAGCGGCGGACGGGUGAGUAACACGUGGAUAACCUACCUAUAAGACUGGGAUAACUUCGGGAAACCGGAGCUAAUACCGGAUAAUAUAUUGAACCGCAUGGUUCAAUAGUGAAAGACGGUUUUGCUGUCACUUAUAGAUGGAUCCGCGCCGCAUUAGCUAGUUGGUAAGGUAACGGCUUACCAAGGCAACGAUGCGUAGCCGACCUGAGAGGGUGGUCGGCUACACUGGAACUGAGACACGGGCCAGACUCCUACGGGAGGCAGCAGUAGGGAAUCUUCCGCAAUGGGCGAAAGCCUGACGGAGCAACGCCGCGUGGGUGAUGAAGGUCUUCGGAUCGUAAAACUCUGUUAUUAGGGAAGAACAAAUGUGUAAGUAACUAUGCACGUCUUGACGGUACCUAAUCAGAAAGCCACGGCUAACUACGUG
rnacentral:rRNA from 1 species